GAUGAACGCUGGCGGCGUGCCUAAUACAUGCAAGUCGAGCGAACGGACGAGAAGCUUGCUUCUCUGAUGUUAGCGGCGGACGGGUGAGUAACACGUGGAUAACCUACCUAUAAGACUGGGAUAACUUCGGGAAACCGGAGCUAAUACCGGAUAAUAUUUUGAACCGCAUGGUUCAAAAGUGAAAGACGGUCUUGCUGUCACUUAUAGAUGGAUCCGCGCUGCAUUAGCUAGUUGGUAAGGUAACGGCUUACCAAGGCAACGAUGCAUAGCCGACCUGAGAGGGUGAUCGGCCACACGAGAACGGAGACACGGUCCAGACGCCUACGGGAGGCAGCAGUAGGGAAUCUUCCGCAAUGGGCGAAAGCCUGACGGAGCAACGCCGAGUGAGUGAUGAAGGUCUUCGGAUCGUAAAACUCUGUUAUUAGGGAAGAACAUAUGUGGAAGUAACUGUGCACAUCUUGACGGUACCUAAUCAGAAAGCCACGGCUAACUACGUG
rnacentral:rRNA from 1 species